CGGACGGGUGAGUAACGCGUGGGGAACCUGCCCUGUACCGGGGGAUAGCAGCCGGAAACGGCUGAUAAUACCGCAUAAGCGCACGAAUGUCGCAUGACAUGGUGUGAAAAACUCCGGUGGUAUAGGAUGGACCCGCGUCUGAUUAGCCAGUUGGUGGGGUAAAAGCCUACCAAAGCGAAGAUCAGUAGCCGAGUUGAGAGACUGACCGGCCACAUUGGGACUGAGACACGGCCCAGACUCCUACGGGAGGCAGCAGAU
rnacentral:rRNA from 1 species